rnacentral:sRNA from 1 species
CAUCUUCCCGUUGGGAGAAGGUGAGAAGCUUCGACAAGGUUCGCGUCGAGCAACGCGAGACAACGUGCGCAGCACGGCCCGCAGGGCGAGGAGCGCAGCGACGAGUCA